GAGAAAUCCUGUAACCGCCCGCCGCUGUUUUGGCACACCGGCCAGGGCCGCGACCGUGGGAGCGUCGUCGUCUCCGCUGUGGGAGCCACGCCGAAGGGCGCCGCUGCCUCCGGGGCCGGAGGGCCAGCCGAGUGCCGUUGCCUCGGGCGCCGCUGGACGGAUGCAAGCCGAGGGCGCGGCGUCGCCUCAGUCUUCCGCGCCGCGCCGCGGUUGGGUGCCGCCUUCGCGGGCGCCGAGGCUGUCGUUUGCGGCAUGCGUAGUGGGAGAGCAUCUCGCCAUGCACGUGUGCGCCGGGCAUCUCCGCGGUCACGCUUUAGGCGGCCUCGCGCCGAGGCCGCGCCGCCACAUCAUGGCUGGUGCGCCGGAGGGCGUUGCCGUUUCGUCGAGGUCCGCGCAGCGCCUCCGCGUUGAGAGGUCAAGGCUACGCAGUCGUGCCCCGCGUUAGAGGCCGGCAGACACCUCGACGCAUCGCUGGACAGCCGUGUGUGUGCAAGGUGCAUGGACGCGGGCGCCGCUGGCGAUGCUGAUGAAAAGCAACGGCAGUUGUCGCUUGAUCCAGUGCAGUGCAGGAAGAAUUGAAGAACGCAUGGACAGAGCCGCCGGUCCAAGCGUUGGCCGUUGGUCGCUCCUGUGGACGCGCUGCCGGGAGCCCGCGGUCGCGCAUGGGUGCCGCCUUCCGCCGGGAACACCGCGUUGCCGCGGAAUAGCCAUUGAGGUGUGCGCGGCGCCAUGCGCUGCCUUUGCUAGCGCUGGAGCGUUGGCUUCCUUUGCCACGCAGGGCCAGAGGGCAUCGCGACGUUGCGCACUCGCUGCCGGCAGUUUGGCCGUGAAAUCGCUCCGCCAGAGGGCGUGCUGAUAACGUGUUAGAGUAGAACGAGAGAAGUAAUGAAAACGGUGUCCUCUUUAUUAGA